UUCCGGUUGAUCCUGCCGGACCCUACUGCUAUCGGGAUGGGACUAAGACAUGCUAGUCGUGCGCCUCCAAGCCAUGGUGGAGGCGCGGCGCACAGCUCAGUAACACGUGGUUAACCUGCCCUUGGGACGGAAACACCCCCGGGAAACUGGGGCUAAUUUCCGAUAGGUGAAGGCUCCUGGAAUGGAUCUUCGCCUAAAGGGCGCUUAGGCCAUGCUUCUAGGCGCUGCCCAAGGAUGGGGCCGCGGCCGAUCAGGUUGUUGGUGAGGUAAUGGCUCACCAAGCCUUUAACCGGUUCGGGCCGUGGGAGCGGGAGCCCGGAGAUGGGCACUGAGACAAGGGCCCAGGCCCUACGGGGCGCAGCAGUCGCGAAAACUCCGCAAUACGCGAAGGCGUGACGGGGCUAUCCCGAGUGCCGUCCGCUGAGGAUGGCUUUUCCCUAGUGUAGAUAGCUGGGGGAAUAAGGAGAGGGCAAGUCUGGUGUCAGCCGCCGCGGUAAUACCAGCUCUCCGAGUGGUGGGGACGUUUAUUGGGCCUGAAACAUCCGUAGCCAGCUGAGCAAGUCCCCAGUUAAAUCCAGCGAUUUAAUCGUUGGACUGCUGGGGAUACUGUCCGGCUAGGGGGUGGGAGAGGCCGACGGUAUUCCCGGGGUAGGGGUGAAAUCCUAUAAUCCCGGGAGGACCACCAGUGGCGAAGGCUGUCGGCUAGAACGCGCCCAACGGUGAGGGAUGAAAGCUGGGGGAGCGAACCGGAUUAGAUACCCGGGUAGUCCCAGCUGUAAACGAUGCAGGCUAGGUGUUUGGGCGGCCACGCGCCGCUCUAGUGCCGCAGGGAAGCUGUUAAGCCUGCCGCCUGGGGAGUACGGCCGCAAGGCUGAAACUUAAAGGAAUUGGCGGGA
rnacentral:rRNA from 1 species